UGCAACUGAUUUAUGAAUCUACAUGCAUAAGAUUGUAAAAAAUUUAAGUAUUAUUUUUUGUGUUGGGACAACGUCCACUUAUUGACCGAUUUUUCCAAAACAACUAGUUUUACGUAUAUUUCACAAAGUAAAAAAAACGUUAUCAUUUAAAAAGACAUUAUUAACUUUUAAGAAACGCCGACGUAUCAUUAAUGCAAAAAAUAUUAUGGAAUAUCUCAAAGUUGAAUGUGAAAGGCCACGAAAAACCGUUAAUCAUUGGAAAAAUCAAAUUUUAUACAUCAUUUGGACAAAAUACAAGUUUUGACUAUUAAAAUUAAAAAAAAUGAUCUUACACAAUUGAUACAUGAAUCUACAUGCAUAAGAUUGUAAAAAAUUUUAGUAUUAUUUUUUAUGGUGGUCUCACGCCCGCUUAUUGACCGAUUUUUCCAAAACAACUAGUUUUACGUAUAUUUCACAAAGUAAAAAAAGCUUUAUCAUUUUAAAAAUACAUUAUUAACUUUUAAGAAACGCCGACGUAUCAUUUAUGCAAAAAAUAUUAUGGAAUAUCUCAAAAUUGAAUGUGAAAGGCCACGAAAAACCGUUUUUCUUUGGAAAAAUCACAUUUUAUGCAUCAUUUGGACAAACUACAAGUUUUGACUAUUAAAAUUAAAAAAAAUUAUCUUACACAAUUGAUUUAUGAAUCUACAUGCAUAAGAUUGUAAAAAAAUUAAGUAUAAUUUUUUAUGGUGGUCUCACGCCCGCUUAUUGACCGAUUUUUCCAAAACAACUAGUUUUACGUAUAUUUCACAAAGUAAGAAAAGCGUUAAAAAUACAUUAUUAAAUUUUAAGAAACGCCGACGUAUCAUUUAUGCAACAAAUAUUAUGGAAUAUCUCAAAGUUGAAUGUGAAAGGCCACGAAAAACCGUUUUUCUUUCGAAAAAUCACAUUUUAUGCAUCAUUUGGACAGACAACAAGUUUUUACUAUUAAAAUUAAAAAAAAUAAUCUUACACAAUUGAUUUAUGAAUCUACAUGCAUAAGAUUGUAAAAAAUUUUAAGUAUUAUUUUUUAUGGUGGUCUCACGCCCGCUUAUUGACCGAUUUUUCCAAAACAACUAGUUUUACGUAUAUUUCACAAAGUAAAAAAAGCGUUAAAAAUACAUUAUUAAAUUUUAAGAAACGCCGACGUAUCAUUUAUACAACAAAUAUUAUGGAAUAUCUCAAAGUUGAAUGUGAAAGGCCCCGAAAAACCGUUUUUCUUUGGAAAAAUCACAUUUUAUACAUCGUUUGGACAAAGAACAAAUUUUGACUAUUAAAAUUUAACAAUUAUUAUCCUAUGCAACUGAUUUAUGAAUCUACAUGCAUAAGAUUGUAAAAAACUUAAGUAUUAUUUUUUAUGGUGGUCUCACGCCCGCUUAUUGACCGAUUUUUCCAAAACAACUAGUUUUACAUAUAUAUUUCACAAAGUAAAAAAAGCUUUAUCAUUUUAAAUAUACAUUAUUAACUUUUAAGAAACGCCGACGUAUCAUUUAUGCAAAUAAUAAUAUGAAAUAUCUCAAAAUUGAAUGUGAAAGGCCACGAAAAACCGUUAAUCUUUGGAAAAAUCACAUUUUAUACAUCGUUUGGACAAAGAACAAAUUUUGACUAUUAAAAUUUAACAAUUAUUAUCUUAUGCAACUGAUUUAUGAAUCUACAUGCAUAAGAUUGUAAAAAAUUUAAGUAUUAUUUUUUGUGUUGGGACAACGUCCACUUAUUGACCGAUUUUUCCAAAACAACUAGUUUUACGUAUAUUUCACAAAGUAAAAAAAACGUUAUCAUUUAAAAAGACAUUAUUAACUUUUAAGAAUCGCCGACGUAUCAUUAAUGCAAAAAAUAUUAUGGAAUAUCUCAAAGUUGAAUGUGAAAGGCCACGAAAAACCGUUAAUCAUUGGAAAAAUCAAAUUUUAUACAUCAUUUGGACAAACUACAAGUUUUGACUAUUAAAAUUAAAAAAAAUGAUCUUACACAAUUCAUUUAUGAAUCUACAUGCAUAAGAUUGUAAAAAAUUUAAGUAUUAUUUUUUGUGUUGGGACAACGUCCACUUAUUGACCGAUUUUUCAAAAACAACUAGUUUUACGAAUAUUUCACAAAGUAAAAAAAACGUUGUCAUUUUAAAAAUACAUUAUUAACUUUUAAGAAACAACGACGUAUCAUUUAUGCAAAAUAUAUUAUGAAAUAUCUCAAAAUUGAAUGUGAAAGGGCACGGAAAUCCGUUUUCUUUUGGAAAAAUCACAUUUUAUGCAUCAUUUGGACAAACUACAAGUUUUGACUAUUAAAAUUAUAAAAAUGAUCUUACACAAUUCCUUCAUGAAUCUACAUGCAUAAGAUUGUAAAAAAUUUAAGUAUUAUUUUUUGUGUUGGGACAACGCCCGCUUAUUGACCGAUUUUUCCAAAACAACUAGUUUUACGUAUAUUUCACAAAGUAAAAAAAGCGUUAAAAAUACAUUAUUAAAUUUUAAGAAACGCCGACGUAUCAUUUGUGCAAAAAAUAUUAUGAAAUAUCUCAAAAUUGAAUGUGAAAGGGCACGGAAAACCGUUUUUUUUGGAAAAAUCACAUUUUAUGCAUCAUUUGGACAAACUACAAGUUUUGACUAUUAUAAUUAAAAAAAAAUGAUCUUACACAAUUGAUGUAUGAAUCUACAUGCAAAAGAUUGUAAAAAAUUUAAGUAUUAUUUUUUAUGGUGGUCUCACGCCCGCUUAUUGACCGAUUUUUCCAAAACAACUAGUUAUACGUAUAUUUCACAAAGUAAAAAAAACCUUUAUCAUUUUAAAAAUACAUUAUUAACUUUUAAGAAACGCCGACGUAUCAUUUAUGCAAAAAAUAUUAUGGAAUAUCUCAAAAUUGAAUGUGAAAGGCCACGGAAAACCGUUAAUCUUUGGAAAAAUCACAUUUUAUGCAUCGUUUGGACAAAGUACAAGUUUUGACUAUUAAAAUUUAACAAUUGUUAUCUUAUGCAACUGAUUUAUGAAUCUACAUGCAUAAGAUUGUAAAAAAUUUAAAUAUUAUUUUUUGUGUUGGGACCACGUCCACUUAUUGACCGAUUUUUCCAAAACAACUAGUUAUACGUAUAUUUCACAAAGUAAAAAAAACUUUACCAUUUUAAAAAUACAUUAUUAACUUUUAAGAAACGCCGACGUAUCAUUAAUGCAAAAAAAAUUAUGGAGUAUCUCAAAGUUGAACGUGAAAGGCCACGAAAAACCGUUAAUCUUUGGAAAAAUCAAAUUUUAUACAUCAUUUGGACAAACUACAAGUUUUGACUAUUAAAAUUAAAAAAAAUGAUCUUACACAAUUGAUUUAUGAAUCUACAUGCAUAAGAUUGUAAAAAAUUUAAGUAUUAUUUUUUAUGUUGGGACCACGUCCACUUAUUGACCGAUUUUUCCAAAACAACUGGUUUUACGUAUAUUUCACAAAGUAAAAAAAGCUUUAUCAUUUUAAAAAUACAUUAUUAACUUUAAAGAAACGCCGACGUAUCAUUUAUGCAAAAAAUAUUAUGGAAUAUCUCAAAAUUGAACGUGAAAGGCCACGAAAAACCGUUUUUCUUUGGAAAAAUCACAUUUUAUGCAUCGUUUGGACAAAGUACAAGUUUUGACUAUUAAAAUUUAACAAUUGUUAUCUUAUGCAACUGAUUUAUGAAUCUACAUGCAUAAGAUUGUAAAAAAUUUAAGUAUUAUUUUUUGAGUUGGGACCACGUCCACUUAUUGACCGAUUUUUCCAAAACAACUAGUUUUACGUAUAUUUCACAAAGUAAAAAAAACGUUAUCAUUUUAAAAAUACAUUAUUAAUUUUAAAGAAUCGCCGACGUAUCAUUUAUGCAAAAAAUAUUAUGUAAUAUCUCAAAGUUGAAUGUGAAAGGCCACGAAAAACCGUUAAUCUUUGGAAAAAUCACAUUUUAUACAUCGUUUGGACAAACUACAAGUUUUGACUAUUAAAAUUCAAAGAAAAUGAUCUUACACAAUUGAUUUAUGAAUCUACAUGCAUAAGAUUGUAAAAAAUUUAAGUAUUAUUUUUUGUGUUGGGACAACGUCCACUUAUUGACCGAUUUUUCAAAAACAACUAGUUUUACGAAUAUUUCACAAAGUAAAAAAAACGUUGUCAUUUUAAAAAUACAUUAUUAACUUUUAAGAAACAA